CAAAGAUACAGAGAAAACCGCCGAUUUUUAUGCUUAGAUUUGAUGAAGAGUGGAUAGCUGUGUAGAAAUCUGAUUGGACAAAGAGGGUAUGAUCUAAUAGUAGUAUACUGAGUGGGAAAACCCAGCAAGGCCUGUCUGUUUGGAUUUUUCUUGGCUUCUUUGUGUAACAUUCUUUCCUCCUGGGUAUGGAUCAGUAUCCUUUCUGGAAUGGGGCUCUCAUAACCUACUGUUCAACAAGCUACUCUUUAGAGGUAUGAUGGAUCUCCCCACAAAGUCUGGUUCAGGUGUCAAGACCUACACACCAAGAAACGAUGAGAAGAAUUAUCAUUCACAUGAGACUUUCUGGGGCAAGCAGAGUGGCUACCAAACAGGUCUUAAAAUGGCUUGAGAAAUCCAGAGAUUUGAAGUUCAGGAUAGAAAACAGCAUCAAUAUUAUCAGAAUGCACAAGCCACGAACCCCAUUGCCAGACUGCUUGUUACAUGUUGUAGAGGCUGGGAAGUCCAAGGUCAUGGUGCCAACAGACUUGGUGUCUGGAGAGGGCUGCUCUCUGCUUCCAACAUGGUGUCUUCUCGCAGUGUCAUGUCCUCCUGACGGAAGGAAUGCUGUGUCUCACAUGGUGACAGGAAUUGAAGGACAAAAAUGGCUGAACACUUUGUGAAGCCUCAUUUAUAAAUGUCUUAAUCUCAUUCGUGAGGACUCUACCCUCAUGAAAACUUAAUCACUUCCUAAAGGACUUGCCUCUUAAUACUAUCACAUUAUCAAUUAAGUUUCAACACAUGACUUGAGGGACAUUCAGACCAUAGUACUUCCCUAGUUAGGAGACUAAACAAAGACAGGAGCAAGAAGAGGAGUCUCAUUUGCAGAAGAAAUGUCUGUUUCUCACUUGGCAUUGCAUAAGACUUAUCUGAGAGUGCCCAAUGUCACACAUCUAUGGUAAGAAGAGAAGAUACUGAUCAGAAGGGCCUGGAGGCUUUAUGAAGCAACAGUCUGAAAAGUCCUUGCAGGAAAUAGGCAAGGCUAUCCUGGAAGGACUCCUAGAUACAUGGCCUGGAUACAGCAAGAGGUGAAUGUCCUGGGUGCCUACAGCAGAGGCACACUUGGUAGUGUAGGCCUGCUAUCAACCCUACACCCUUGAAUCCUACAGACCAUUGGCAUGACAGCAGACAGAUCACUGGCAGGCAAGAUUUGAUGGAAGAACCAUGUAUCCGCCGCAAACGCAAGACUCAUCCGAGGAGCACUAGUAGCCUAGAGCCCUGAAUUCAUCCUGUGCCUGAUGUGAAAGUCACCCAAAAUCAACAUUUCUGUACCAUUCUGGUGGCCCAAUCUCAUAUAAUCACUUGAAAGGAAUAGCACACUGACUAAUCAAAGCCAUCAGCUCAUCAGCCACUGUUCCGGAAUCGAGGUCCACCCAUGGACUCCCAGAAGAACCCCUUAAGUAUUAGUACUGGAACUCCUCUAUGCACUUGAUCCACAUAAAGUACGUGUGUGUGGGCAGGGAGGGCUUGUAGAGGAUCAGAAAGUGCCUUACAGGAGAGAAACAGAGACCAAGACUAGGGAACCCUUUCUGCUGGAGGGGCAUCUAGACAUUUUGAAGAAACACACGAAAGAAUAGAGCCCCUGAGGUCACAUCCAGAUUUCAGUUUCUCUUCGGGAGUCUAAGAGACUGUU
rnacentral:lncRNA from 1 species